AUCUUUGCGCUUGGGGAAAUGAUGUAGCUAGUGAGGUACUAACUGAGGCGCGUCUAAUGCGGGUUGAAAACUAUUUCCAAACCUUCUUUGGCCUAGGUUCAAGCCUUGGCCAUCUAGAAUUUCUGGAAUGGCUCCCUUCGGGGUAAAGCC